GAGAAAGAAAGCAGGGCCACUCCAUCUGCUCUGCUGAGACACCAGCUCCAUCAGGCUCCUCCCUCUAUCAUCUGUUACCUGGUCAUUCCAUCCUGUCGGGCUGUAGCAGAGGGAAAGAAGGGAAGCAGGGCCACUCCAUCUGCUCUGCUGAGAGACCAGCAACUGACAGCUGAGAGACCAAGCUGAGAGACAAAGCUGAUUGCAAGCCUAAGAGCAGGGACUGUCAUAGUGAUCUGCAAGCCACUCUGGGGUCACUCCAACCCUGGAGGCCUUCAAGAGGCAGCUGGACCGCCACCUGUCGGCUAUAUCAGAGAAUUCUGUUGGAAACAGGAGCAGAAAUUGCUGCAGUCCACGUGUUUUCCGAUGUCAGGAACAGAAUGAAUACAAGCAGCUUUUGUGAUUCUUCUUGUUUUGGACAGCAAACAUCAUGUAAACAAUACUGUUUGUUUUCUGCAUGGUUUUUUAUGUUUCCCUUCCAUCAAAAUGACUUGAAAUUAAUGACACAAUCAAUUACCUCCUAUUCAGCCAUCAUGCAUAGCUAACGAACAAUGUGAGUUUUAGUGGAAGCCAAACAGUGCUGGCUGUGAUGAACGCAGGACUGGGUGGAAAGCACUGCCUCCUUACGUACCGAGUACAGUCCAGCAAGGCUUCACCACAACCUUGUGCUGAUACUACACUUCAAGGGUAGCCAACAUGACGCCCUCUAGAUGUUUUGGACUACAAUUCUCAUCAGCCCCAGACAGCAUGGCUAAUGUUUAAGGAUGAUGGGCGGUGUAGUCCAAAAUAUUUGGAGGGCACUGCAUUGGCUAUCCCUGGUGUAGCUUAACACUUAACUUGGCUUCCUUUUCACAUGGCUGGUGUAAUGUUAGAAAAAUAUUGGUUUUGGGGGGGCAUAAGCUCCAGAUGUUAAAUCCAGCCAAGACCACCUGGUCUUGAUCUCCACUGGGGAGAUCAGGCUUCCUACAUGAUUAGAAAAGACUCCCACUUUCAAAAGUUAUCCCUCUAUUUGUGGAUAGUGAAAGGGAGAGUAACAGGGGCUGGAGCUAGUCCAAAGAUGUGAAUUUGUACAAGGCCAUUCCUGGCAGAGUGAUCAGGAGAAGGAGGAGGAAGUUGCUGCAUUUUGCAUGUUCAUCUGUGGUCCAGAAGGGAAAUCAGUCAAAUGAAUAUGAUCGAUAUUCAUUCACAUUAUUGUUUUUUUAAAGUCCACAAAUGAUACAUAAUUAAUUGUGUGCUUUUUAAAAAGCAUCGUUUUGAUAUGUCCUUUAAAUUGAAAUUAAUGUAAGUCACAUAAAUGGUCAUGCAACUUAAAUAACUUAUGUUAAACAGCAGGCAGUAAGACAAAUAGCAUGGUAUUUAGUGGAAAGUGACCUGCAAUGGAACGGAAACAGUGCUGAUUGUGACAAAUAC